rnacentral:rRNA from 1 species
UACGUAGGGUGCAAGCGUUAAUCGGAAUUACUGGGCGUAAAGCGCGCGCAGGCGGUUUUGUAAGCCAGAUGUGAAAGCCCCGGGCUCAACCUGGGAACUGCGUUUGGAACUACAAGACUAGAGUGUGUCAGAGGGGGGUGGAAUUCCGCGUGUAGCAGUGAAAUGCGUAGAGAUGCGGAGGAACACCAAUGGCGAAGGCAGCUACCUGGCCUAUAACUGACGCUGAGGUGCGAAAGCGUGGGGAGCAAACGGGAUUAGAAACCCGUGUAGU